AUUUAAAUAGCUUAUUAAGAGUAUAAUAUUGAAAAUAUUAAGGUAAUAAUAUUUAUUUUUAAAUA
rnacentral:tRNA from 1 species